UACGGAGGGGGCUAGCGUUGUUCGGAAUUACUGGGCGUAAAGCGCACGUAGGCGGCUUUGUAAGUUAGAGGUGAAAGCCCGGGGCUCAACUCCGGAAUUGCCUUUAAGACUGCAUCGCUAGAAUCGUGGAGAGGUGAGUGGAAUUCCGAGUGUAGAGGUGAAAUUCGUAGAUAUUCGGAAGAACACCAGUGGCGAAGGCGGCUUC
rnacentral:rRNA from 1 species